rnacentral:rRNA from 1 species
UACGUAGGGUGCGAGCGUUGUCCGGAAUUACUGGGCGUAAAGAGCUCGUAGGUGGUUUGUCGCGUUGUCCGUGAAAUACCCCGGCUCAACCGGGGGGGUGCGAUUGAUACUGGGCGGCUCGAGUAACAGCGAGGUUGGCGGAAUUGACGGUGUAGCGGUGAAAUGCAUAGAUAUCGUCAAGAACACCGAUAGCGAAGGCAGCCAACUAGGGGUUAACUGACGCUGAGGCACGAAAGUGCGGGGAUCAAACAGG